UACGUAGGGGGCAAGCGUUGUCCGGAAUCAUUGGGCGUAAAGAGCGUGUAGGCGGCCCGGUAAGUCCGCUGUGAAAGUCGGGGGCUCAACCCUCGAAUGCCGGUGGAUACUGUCGGGCUAGAGUGCGGAAGAGGCGAGUGGAAUUCCUGGUGUAGCGGUGAAAUGCGCAGAUAUCAGGAGGAACACCAAUUGCGAAGGCAGCUCGCUGGGACGUAGCUGACGCUGGAGACGCGAAAGCGUGGGGAGCAAACAGG
rnacentral:rRNA from 1 species